rnacentral:rRNA from 1 species
GACGAACCACACAACCGUUAUUCGGAAUUACUGGGCUUAAAGGGUGCGUAGGCUGCGCAGAAAGUUGGGUGUGAAAUCCCUCGGCUCAACCGAGGAACUGCGUCCAAAACUACUGUGCUCGAGGGAGACAGAGGUGAGCGGAACUUAGGGUGGAGCGGUGAAAUGCGUUGAUAUCCUAAGGAACACCCGUGGCGAAAGCGGCUCACUGGGUCUCUUCUGACGCUGAGGCACGAAAGCUAGGGUAGCGAACGGG